CACCCACUCCUUCUAGUUUUCCCCCGAAAUGAAACCCUAACAAAUCACUAUUCCAAAUUUUUCUCGAGGGUUGUCUCACGACGCGUUUAUCUGAAGUGGCUGAAGACUCACAAACCGGCGAUGACAAGAGUUGUCUAUAUGAACAUUGCAGAUUUUGGUAUUGGUCCCAGUUGAUCGAGAGGUGUAGCAGCUCGGACUAGUUCAUCGGAGACUCAAGGCACAAGAUAAAUGUCCAAAUAUAUCCAAACAGCAAGGUGUUGAACACAAAACACGAAAGUUUAUCACCCUAAUGGAGACAUGAAAAAUACCGACAACAGUAAUUUACUUCGACAAACAAAGUCCACAUCAAGAUGCUACACCAGCAGGAAUUUUGAAAUGUAUUAGACAAACUUGUAUAGCGAGGAUAUUUUGAUAGUUGUGGUAUGUAAAGUGUGAAUUCUUAGAAAUAUGUAGGAGGUAAGGUAUAUGCCCCCCUCCUUGUAUUUGACAUGUAAUUGAAAUUUCCA